UCAAGAGUUUGAUUCUGGCUCAGGACGAACGCUGGCGGUGUGCUUAAUACAUGCAAGUCGAGCGGACUUAUGGGGGCUUGCUCCCAUAAGUUAGCGGCGGACGGGUGAGUAACGCGCGAGCAACCUGCCUAUGUCUGGGGAAUAACACAGAGAAAUCUGUGCUAAUACCGCAUAAGACCACAGUGGGGCAUCCCACAGGGGUAAAAGAUUUAUCGGAUAUAGAUGGGCUCACGUACCAUUAGAUAGUUGGUGGUGUAACGGACUACCAAGUCGACGAUGGUUAGCCGACCUGAGAGGGUGAUCGGCCACAUUGGAACUGAGAUACGGUCCAGACUCCUACGGGAGGCAGCAGUAGGGAAUAUUGGGCAAUGGGCGAAAGCCUGACCCAGCAACACCGCGUGAAUGAUGAAGGUCUUCGGAUUGUAAAGUUCUGUGAUGGGGGACGAAGAAAGUGACGGUACCCCAAGAGCAAGCCACGGCUAACUACGUGCCAGCAGCCGCGGUAAUACGUAGGUGGCAAGCGUUGUCCGGAAUGACUGGGCGUAAAGGGUACGUAGGUGGCUAUUCAAGUUAGUUGUGAAAUCCCGGGGCUUAACUUCGGUGCUACAAUUAAGACUGUUUAGCUUGAGUGCAGGAGGGGUAAGUGGAAUUCCUAGUGUAGCGGUGGAAUGCGUAGAUAUUAGGAAGAACACCGGUGGCGAAGGCGACUUACUGGACUGUAACUGACACUGAAGUACGAAAGCGUGGGGAGCAAACAGGAUUAGAUACCCUGGUAGUCCACGCCGUAAACGAUGAAUACUAGUUGUGGGAGGUAUCGACUCCUUCCGUGACGACGUUAACACAUUAAGUAUUCCGCCUGGGGAGUACGGCCGCAAGGUUGAAACUCAAAGAAAUUGACGGGGACCCGCACAAGCAGCGGAGCAUGUGGUUUAAUUCGACGCAACGCGAAAAACCUUACCAGGGUUUGACAUCCUUUGAUCGCCCAAGAGAUUGGGUUUCCCUUCGGGGCAGAGAGACAGGUGGUGCAUGGUUGUCGUCAGCUCGUGUCGUGAGAUGUUAGGUUAAGUCCUGCAACGAGCGCAACCCUUAUAUACAGUUGCCAAUAUUCAGUUAGGAACUCUGUAUAGACUGCCGUGGAUAACACGGAGGAAGGUGGGGAUGACGUCAAAUCAUCACGCCCCUUACAUCCUGGGCUACACACGUGCUACAAUGGCUAUUACAAAGAGCUGCAAAACCGUAAGGUCGAGCGAAUCUCAUAAAAAUAGUCUCAGUUCAGAUUGUGGGCUGCAACCCGCCCACAUGAAGUCGGAGUUGCUAGUAAUCCCGAAUCAGCAUGUCGGGGUGAAUGCGUUCCCGGGUCUUGUACACACCGCCCGUCACGCCAUGGGAGCCGGGAGUACCCAAAGUCAGUGGCCUAACCGCAAGGAGGGAGCUGCCUAAGGUAAUAUCGGUGACUGGGGUGAAGUCGUAACAAGGUAGCCGUAUCGGAAGGUGCGGCUGGAUCACCUCCUU
rnacentral:rRNA from 1 species